rnacentral:sRNA from 1 species
UUGAUGUCUGGGCCGGGAGCUCGGAGGC